UGCAGUCGGACGGUAACAGGAAGGAGCUUGCUCUUUUGCUGACGAGUGGCGGACGGGUGAGUAAUGCUUGGGAAUCUGUCUUAGGGAGGGGGAUAACCACGGGAAACUGUGGCUAAUACCGCGUAUAAUCGUAAGAUGAGAGGUGUGGGACUGAAGAGCCACAUGCCCUAAGGUGAGCCCAGGUGAGAUUAGGUAGUCGGUGGGGUAAGGGCCUACCAAGCCGACGAUCUCUAGCUGGUCUGAGAGGAUGACCAGCCACACUGGGACUGAGACACGGCCCAGACUCCUACGGGAGGCAGCAGUGGGGAAUAUUGCGCAAUGGGGGGAACCCUGACGCAGCCAUGCCGCGUGAAUGAAGAAGGCCUUCGGGUUGUAAAGUUCUUUCAGUGGUGAGAAAGGUAAUAAUGUUAAUAGUAUUAUUAAUUGACGUUAGCCACAGAAGAAGCACCGGCUAAUUCCGUGCCAGCAGCCGCGGUAAUACGGAAGGUGCGAGCGUUAAUCGGAAUAACUGGGCGUAAAGGGCACGCAGGCGGUAACUUAAGUGAGGUGUGAAAGCCCAGGGCUUAACCUUGGAGGUGCAUUUCAUACUGGGUUACUAGAGUACUCUAGGGAGGGGUAGAAUUCCACGUGUAGCGGUGAAAUGCGUAGAGAUGUGGAGGAAUACCGAAGGCGAAGGCAGCCCCUUGGGGAGUAACUGACGCUCAUGUGCGAAAGCGUGGGGAGCAAACAG
rnacentral:rRNA from 1 species